rnacentral:rRNA from 1 species
GUCUACGGCCAUGCUACCCUGAACAUGCCUGAUCCCAUGUGAUCUCGGAAGCUAAGCAGGGUGGGGCCUGAUUAGUACUUGGAUGGGAGACCAACUAGGAAGACCAGGUGCUGUAGGCG